GAAAUGCGAUAAGUAAUGUGAAUUGCAGAAUUCAGUGAAUCAUCGAAUCUUUGAACGCACAUUGCGCCCGGCAGCAAUCUGCCGGGCAUGCCUGUCCGAGCGUCAUUUCUGCCCUCGAGCGCGGUUCGGCCCCUAUCGGGCCGGCCGCCGCCCGGUGUUGGGGCGCUGCGGGCCCUCGUGCCCGCAGGCCCUGAAAUGAAGUGGCGGUCCCGCCGCGGCGCCCCCUGCGUAGUAGUAAAGCACCUCGCAUCGGGUCCCGGCGGAGGCCAGCCGUCGAACCUCUCUUUUGAUGGUUUGACCUCGGAUCAGGUAGGGUUACCCGCUGAACUUAAGC
rnacentral:misc_RNA from 1 species